rnacentral:rRNA from 1 species
UACGGAGGGGGCUAGCGUUGUUCGGAAUUACUGGGCGUAAAGCGCGCGUAGGCGGCUUUGUAAGUUAGAGGUGAAAGCCCGGAGCUCAACUCCGGAAUUGCCUUUAAGUACUGCAUCGCUAGAAUCAUGGAGAGGUGAGUGGAAUUCCGAGUGUAGAGGUGAAAUUCGUAGAUAUUCGGAAGAACACCAGUGGCGAAGGCGACUCACUGGACAUGUAUUGACGCUGAGGUGCGAAAGCGUGGGGAGCAAACAGG